rnacentral:rRNA from 1 species
AGAACGAACGCUGGCGGCAUGCCUAACACAUGCAAGUCGAACGUGAUCCAGGCUUCGGCUUGGUGAAAGUGGCAGACGGGUGAGUAACGCGUGGGAACCUGCCCUGUGGUAGGGAAUAACCGUGGGAAACUGCGGCUAAUACCCUAUGAGUCCUUCGGGAGAAAGAUUUAUCGCCAUAGGAGGGGCCCGCGUCGGAUUAGGUAGUUGGUGGGGUAACGGCCUACCAAGCCUUCGAUCCGUAGCUGGUCUGAGAGGAUGAUCAGCCACACUGGGACUGAGAUACGGCCCAGACUCCUACGGGAGGCAGCAGUGGGGAAUAUUGGACAAUGGGGGGCAACCCUGAUCCAGCAAUGCCGCGUGGAUGAUGAAGGCCUUCGGGUUGUAAAGUCCUUUCGGCGGGGAAGAUGAUGACGGUACCGCAGAGAAGCCCCGGCUAACUUCGCGCCAGCAGCCGC